GACGAACGCUGGCGGCGUGCCUAAUACAUGCAAGUCGAACGAGAGCAACCGGUGCUUGCACUGGUCAAUCUAGUGGCGAACGGGUGAGUAACACGUGGGUAACCUGCCCAUCAGAGGGGGAUAACAUCCGGAAACGGAUGCUAAAACCGCAUAGGUCUUCGAACCGCAUGGUUUGAAGAGGAAAAGAGGCGCAAGCUUCUGCUGAUGGAUGGACCCGCGGUGCAUUAGCUAGUUGGUGAGGUAACGGCUCACCAAGGCCGUGAUGCAUAGCCGACCUGAGAGGGUGAUCGGCCACAUUGGGACUGAGACACGGCCCAAACUCCUACGGGGGGCAGCAGUAGGGAAUCUUCCGCAAUGGACGCAAGUCUGACGGAGCAACGCCGCGUGAGUGAAGAAGGUUUUCGGAUCGUAAAACUCUGUUGUUAGAGAAGAACAAGUGCUAGAGUAACUGUUAGCGCCUUGACGGUAUCUAACCAGAAAGCCACGGCUAACUACGUG
rnacentral:rRNA from 1 species